rnacentral:lncRNA from 10 species
CUGUUAUGUGAAAUAAAUGAAGACCAGCCAACUAAGAAAGGCAAAGGCUAUGUAUUCUGAGCUCAUCUGGAUCAGAGGAGUCAGCACUGUCAUUUGUGUUUGGCAGAGACUGAAAGGCAGAUGUUCGUCUGAAGAUUUCAAAGCCCACUGCUGAUUUAAGGUCAUUCACAUUCAGCCAUGAAGCUGCUCUGAAGACACAGGAACUGCAUAGCUCCCUACUGGGAAUGUCAAGGGCUGUGAAAGGUCUAAGGUUUUAUCCUACUUGCAACCAACAAGCUAUGCAGCCACAGUUUUAUGGAUGCUGUCAAAAGACAUGACACUCCUGGGUAAGAGACGAAAGACUUUACCACUUGUGGUGUAGUAGCCAGCUGGAGCAUCUUGUGUUUUGAGUUAGUGCCAGUUGUCCCCUAAGUCCCACAGGUAAGGAUGCAAGUUUUCCCAGAUGGAGGCAGGGAAGCAUGCAGGCAUGGGGUGGUGAUGCAGGAACGGAGCUCUGAACUUAGAGAACCCAGAGCUUUAAUAAUGGGUGGAAAGUGUAUCAUUCACCUGCUCUAGAAAAAGACAUGGAGGGAGUCUCCUUCAUAAAAGGACGUUUCAUAGUGGUUGCUAUUCAAAUAUCCUUGGAAAGAUGGGCUGAGACACAGGGUGGCCAGUGCCUCUGCUCACAAGGUGUACCCAAAUCCAGAAGCCCAUGAAAAAUUAUCUUCCAAAACAAUGAUGAAUUUUCCCAUGAGCAUACCACUCCACUGGCCACUAUGAUUAAUCUGGUCAAUUAUUCCCCCUCUAGCAUGCAGUUUAGGCUGCUAACAACAGCAUGAGGGCAACCUGCUGUGGUGACCUAAGCUAUGACACCCCACCCCAAGUCCGGGAUGCAGCUAACUGAGCAAACUGCAUGAACUGGGAGGCGGCCGACCAUUGUUCACGCCUCUCCUUCGCGUAUGUGUUUUCUACUGUUCUUGCACUGUAAAGGCAGAGGUUGCAUCGGGCCCUUAUGCAAAGCCCCAAAUAAUUACUGGCUGACUCUUCUCAGGGAACAUUUGCUAACCCUGUCACAAGCCAUAAGGUUCCACCACAGAUUGCCCUGUGGCUCUCUCGUUACGUUUCUGUGUGGACGUUUCCACAUGGUCUGAGGCAUUCAUCCAAGAAGAGCAGGAUGUAUUAGUGACUGCACAGAUUCUGCCUUGGCCCACAAAGAGGACAUCCAGGGCAGUCCUGGUCAUCUGUAAUAACAUUGCCCAGUGAGUUGAGGCUGACCUGAGUACUGACUUGGGUUGAGUUGGUGUCACUGAUCACUUCAGCCAAAGAUGGGACAUUUCUUAGCACCUGUUCUGAUUGGCUGACUUCUAUGGUCAGGAUAACGGCUCUCAGGAUGCGUAUAACUGCCAAGUCUCUCCGGGAAGCUUCCCUGGGUUACCAAGGAAUCCUCAUGUCUGAGAGAGCUCCACCAUCAUCCAAGGGCCACACGGAGUUUCUUGCAAUGCUUCAAGGUCUCCUGUAAUAACUCCUAUGAUAGAAGUCACUGUGUUUUGGGGAGGUAGACUGCAGCAUGCAGUUUUGACAGCAUGACCAAGGUCAUUGUUCAGGUCUGAUUAUUCAAAUUCAAAAAACUGCAACCUCAGGCAUAAAAGAUUAAGGAUGGAGCCCAAGUCUCUGGGUCCCCAAGGGGGACUGAAGCACAUACUCACCCAUCUGAAUAUGCUGGAGAACAGGAAGGAGAGACUCAAGCUUGUCUGGGUCUGUUGGAUACAGACUCUCCCAUCUCCACCCCAUCAGGUCCUAUGGAGGCCCAAGUUCAGCUGAUGAAGUUAAGGGAGUGCUCAGUGCAGAAGGGUGGGAGGGCACUUGGGGCAUUUUGGGGUCCUGUUUUUGUUGCUUCUGCAUCUGAUACAGCAGGAAUUGAAGUAUUGCACACUUGUCCUUCCCAUUUCCAAGUGCUGCCUUCCCAUCAGUAAGAGCCACAGUUAGAGAGGGACCAACAGGAGGAUAACUCCCACAUGCUUAGCAUUCCAAUAAUGGAACACUAGGCAUAAAUUGAUAAGAUGCUUUCAAUGCAAUCAGUACUCUGCCAGGAUUCACUAAGUAGAGAAUGACUAAAUAUUUACCCAUCUCCUAACAAAAAUGCACAACUGAGGACAGAUGUUUUGCACUUUUAUGUGUCUACGGACUGUGUAAGAGGAUUUGGCUGGGUCAUCAUCUUCUUCUUCUUCUUAGACUGGUUGAUGGUGACCGUUCAUUGAUCCAAUAUGGUAAAGUCAUGUCCUGGUCUGUGUUCUUCGGGGUCCACAACCCUCUUUAACAGCCUGUUGUAAGGUUCUCGACCACGUCACUGUCUAGCUAAACCAUUCUGCAUUUCAGUAGGUAAACCAGCAGGAGGGCUUAAAAACCACAUUGCCCUGUCCACAUCCCUAUUUCUGAUUCUUUUCUGGCCUGCGAUCCUACAUCUCUAUCCUCACUUUAAACUGUUUUCCUCUUUUCUUCUCCUUUUUCCUGACCUCCUUUAUGUUUUUCAUUUCUCCUCCAUCUGAAUAUACCAAACCAUCCUUUUGCUUCCUCUUUUCUCUUCAUUAAUUAUUCUAGGGGCUAUUUUUUUUAUUAGGAAGAUGUAUUAUUUUAACAUGCUUUAUAAAGUUAGUGGCAUUAAGGAAUUAAUGUCCUUGGAAACUCAUACAUGUUCAGCUUCUAGAAACCCCUGAUUCCAAGGAGCAAAAACAUGCCAUCUCUGACAGUGUCCACAAGAACAAUACCAGAUCAGACGAUAAAGCCAACACACAGCAUAGCCAAUGGCCACACAUCCAGAAAACACUCUCAACAAAUUUAACCCUUCAGUAUUCACUGUAGCCAAUAUAUAUUCAAUAUAUAUAGCUGACUUUGUUUUUAUAUUUGAUGAAGUCCUGCUAUUUGAAAUAAAAUAAUCAAACCAACAACAACAACAACAAAAACCCCAUACAUGGUGAUAGCAUAUGUGAGGCAGUAGCAAUUUCUCCAUCUUUUCUGUCCUGUCUUUCCUGUUCUUCGUUCCCAUGCUAAGAAGGGAUGGAUAUAUCUCGGAGAUUACACAGGUUCUAGUCAAAGACUUCAUUGUGAACGUUUGUUUCACAUUUUCCCUGGAUAAGGACUAAUUAAAAGUUUGGAAAAGUAUACCUUUUUUUUUUUUUUUUUUUGCAAACUUACCCAUAUUAUGUGCUUUUUCUUGAUACAGCUGCUAAUCUUUGCUGUAUAUGUAGUGUUAGGAAGUCUACUUUAAUACACACACACACGUUUAAUGAGGUAAAAUAUGCAUAACAUAAUUACCAUUUUAACAAUUUUUAAGUGUAGAGUUCAGGGGCAAGUACGUUCAUGUUCUUGUGCAACUAUCACCACCAUUUUUUCUCCAGAACCCUUUUUAUCAUCUCAAACUGAAACUCUGCACCCACUGAACAAUAACUCCCCGUUCUCUCCUCCUCCUAGACCCUGGUAACCCCUCAUCUAUUUUCUGUCUCUGUGUAUUUGACUAUUCUAGGUACCACAUUAACGUGGACUUACACAGUAUUCGUCCUUUUGUGACUGGCUUAGUUUAUUUAGCAUAAGAUCCCCAAGGUUCAGCCGGGUGCCGUGGCUCAUGCCUGAAAUCCAAGCACUUUGGGAGGCCAAGGUGGGUGGAUCACCUGAGGUCAGGAGAUUGAGACCAGCCUGGCCAACACGGUGAAACCUCAUCUCUACUAAAAUACAAAAAUUAGCUGGGCCUGGUGGCGGGCGCCUGUAAUCCUAGCUACUAGGUAGGCUGAGGCAGGAGAUUAGCUUGAACCUGGGAGGCGGAGGUUGCAGUGAGCAGAGAUGGGACCACUCCACUCCAGCUUGGGCAACAGAGCAAGACCCUGUCUCAAAAAAAAAAAAUUCAAGGUUCAUCCAUGCUGUGGCAUGUGUCAUAAUUUCAUUUCUUCAUAUUCCUGAAAUACAUUUCUAAAUAUAAAUUUUUCAUUACUGUUUUCAUUUCAAGUUAAGUUUAUCAGAUCCUGUAGUCCAGGGACUUCAGUCUCUUUGAAUUAUGUCUUUCUUGGACAAUUUGGGAGCUCUUUUGAGAAACUGAAUACAAUUUGAAUACACUAAAAUCUGAAUCACACCAUAGAUAACGACAUAGUGUCUUAGUGAGAAGAAAUUUGAUUCUGCUGACUAGGAUACUAAAGUUUGACCUUUAUGGUCAUCUCUUAAUAAAAUAAAAGGAGAGCACUGGGCUAUUAAAUAGUUUAUUCAUGGAUCAUAGGGUGAAUAAGACCUAGAUCCUAGAGGAAAUCCUCCCCACAAAGACACUCAGACUUUUAUUCCUGUCAAUGUUCUUGUGGAUUUCAGGGAGCAAUGAUGGCUAUAAAUCUGCAACUCAUAGCAUUUCAGGCUAAACACAUUCAGCCUUUAUUACCAUUGUUCAUUUGACCUCUUUAUCCAAUUUUUUUCCCACCCACUUGCCAAUAUCACCUUGUUCUUAUGUAGGCUGUGUUUCAGCCAGCUUAAGCCUUACUAACAAAUGAGGUGAAAUCCAUCUGAGGAGGAAGCCGGGGCAUGGUGGAUUGAAAUAGCUUGCCUCAGGAGCAGAAAAUUUGGUGUGGAUCAAGAAAUAGAACUCCAAAGUAUACCUUUCCAGUCAUUGGCUUUAGCUGGAGCCAGCAUCCUUCAAUGAAUCAGUCAACAUUUACCUAUCUGUUCCCCACAGCAGUUUUGCAAAUCGCUUUCAGAAAUCAUUGAACCACUAACAGUUUAUCCACUCUGCAAAAUAUACACAGCUCUUCCCAUAUCCAGGAGGGUUAUCCCUUCUCAGCUGCGUUCAACACUUUUUACAACCCCUGAUUUCAAUAAGCAGAAUACAUCCACCUGCUUAGGGAAAUUACUCUUACCAUAUAAUUGCCUCUUAUGUUGAAAUGUCCAUGAGACCCUCUCAUGAAAUAGGGGACAAGAUAAAGCACAGAUUUUCCCCCAACUCAAACAUGCCUGUCUCAUACAUGUCAUGCCCUUGGAAAUGGCCAACACUGCUCUCUGCCUCCUGUUUAGGGUUAAGGCUUUCACUAUCUCUUGCCACCUCUGAUGAAAUUACUAACAAAUAUAUUAUCCUUACCCUUUGUCUUCUAUUCCAGCACUUCAAAUGCAUCAAAGGUCCAGAGAGAAGCUUCUUCUGGUCACCUUGAUCUUGUGAUGCAAGGCAGGUGGGAGCAAGGGCUCCACCUCUGCAGACACAGAGAUGACGGGGUCGCCAUGCCGGCGUUUUAGUCCCGGUUUCCUCUGCUCGAGUAGUUGGUGGCCUCCUGCCUGUUCCCUAACAUAACUUCACUUUCCUUACCUGCAAAACGAAAUUAGUAUUUCCUCCCUCACAAGGUGCUUGAUGCCCUUCCCCUUGCGUUUACUUUGCCUGAGAGACUAUAUCAUAUCUAUGAUUUUGUGAAUGGGGCAAAAGGAAUUGAGAGUGUCAGGGUAUACCUUAUAAAUAAGCCACUAAAGGUUACAUCCUCAUUCCACAAACUGACCUAAACAAUUUGGCUGUCACUAAUAGAUUAUUUUGGUCAGUUAUGGCAUUUAGAGGGAGAAGAGAGAGUAUAUAUAUAUGGGUGGGGUGUGUGUGUAUGCGUGUGUAUGUGUGUGUUUACAGUCAAAAUACCAAAAUAUAUCUAUGUAUAUAAAUAUAUUUGCUUUCUUUGUUUUUGUUACAAUAAACUUGUACAUACAAUUCUGACACACAUAUUUUCAUAUGUAGGCACAAAAAUAGUCAUACAAAAAAUACCACAAAAGGUAAUAACAAAGUGGAAGAAGACAUAGGAACAGAGAACAAACCAACACAUAGAAAAAGUAACAAACAUGGUAGAUACGAAUCCAGCUAUAUCAAUAAUCGCGUUAAACAUCAAUGGUCUUAAAUAUACUAGACAGUGGAAUAUUAUUCAGCAUUGAAAAGAAAUGACCUAUCAAGCCAUGAAAGACAAGGAGGAACCUUAAAUGCAUGUUACUGAGUGAAAGAAGCCAAUCUGAAAAGGCUGCAUCCUGCAGGAUUCUGACUCUAUGACAUUCUGGAAAAGGUAAAACUACUAAGACAGUGAAAAGAUCAGUAGCUGCCAGGGGUUACGGGAAGGGGAUGAUGAAUAAGUGGGGCACAGCAUUUUGAGGAGGUGAAACUACUCUGUAGGAUACUGUAACAGUAAAUCCAUGUCAUUAUAUGUUUGUACACACCCAUAGAACACCAGGAGGACAGCACCAAGAGGGAGCCCUAGUGUGAACUGUGGACUCUGGUUGGUAAUGAUGUGCCUGUGAAGCUUCAUUGUUUGCAGCAAAUGCAUCAGUGUGGUGGGGGAUGUUUCUAAAUUGAUAAUGAAGGACGCCAUAGGUGUAUGGGGGCAGAGAGUUUAUGAGAAAUCUGUACCUUUUGCUCAAUUUUACUGAACAUAAAACUGCUGAAGCCAUCAUUCUCAGCAAACUAACCCAGGAGCAGAAAACCAAACGCCGCAUGUUCUCACUCAUAAGUGGGAGUUGAACAAUGAGAACACAUGGACACAGGGAGGGGAACAUCGUCACACACCGGAGCCUGUCGCAGGGUGGGGAGCUGGGGGAGGGAGAGCAUUAAGACAAAUACCUAAUGCAUGUGGGGCUUAAAACCUAGAUGAUAGGUUGAUAGGUGCAGCAAACCACCAUGGCACAUGUAUACCUAUGUAACAAACCUGCACAUUCUGCACAUGUAUCCCAGAACUUAAAGUAAAAUAUAUUAAAAAAAUUAAAGUCUAUUUUAAAAAAAGAAAAACAAUCAGCUAACCUACUUUGGUAGCUCUGUUCUGCGCUGUCGGGUCUUCCAUCCUAGCGUGUGACACAGGAGGGUUUCGCUGGCAGGACCCGCCCACUGCACAUGCAGGUUCAGGUGACAGAGACCUCUGGAAAGAUGAGGCCCGUGGGAGCAGGGGGCUUCUUGUUGACACUGAAGGUCAGGCUUCAGGAAUGCCAGGGGCUCAUAAAAUCUUUUUCACUGAACAUUAUGCUGAGCAGGAUUCAUUUUACCAGUGAAAAAAUAUUUCUGACAUCCUUUGUGCUUUUUAACAAAGCCUGUGGUGUGGAUUUGCAUGAUUCUUAGAUUGCUGAGUAACCACUUCGGGAGGGUUCUUGAUUAGGGCACUAAAAAUGUUAACACAACACCCGUGGGAUGUAGAUUAAGGUCAACUUGUCCUUGUGCGUCUCUCCUAGUGUUGAUGGCAGAGUCUUAGUAUUUCAGCUGACGAAAUCUCUGCCCAUUCUCUUCCAAUGUUCCCUAAUAAGCUACAGGAGGACAGAGACAAAAGUUUGACUUCAUUAGUAACUUUUGGAAGUUGCCCAAUUUAGGAAAAAGAGUUAAUAAAUCAGGAAUUUUAUAAGAACUUUUUGUUAAAUCUGUAGUUAUUCAAAUCAGCCUCAGCAUGAUAAGACAACACUACAGGUUAUUAUAAAUAGUUGAAAAAGAAAAAUUAAAUUCCAACCAAACAAUUGAUCCUUAACUUUUUUUUUUUUUGAGACGGAGUUUUGCUCUUGUUGUCCAGGCUGGGGUGCAGUGGCACAGUCUUGGCUCACUGCAACCUCCACCUCCCAGGUUCAAGCAAUUUUCAUGCCUCAGCCUCCUGAGUAGCUGGGAUUACAAGUGCCCGCCACCAAAUCUGGCUAAUUUUUGUAUUUUUAGUAGAGACGGGAUUUCACCAUGUUGACCACGCUGGUCUCGAACUACUGACCUUAGGUGAUCUGCCCACCUCGGCCUCCCAAUGUUCUGGGAUUACAGGCAUGAGCCACCACAUCUGACCGAUCCUUAACAUGUGAUAAAACAAAUGUUAUGUUGCUCAGCACAUAGUUCAGGUACCCAUUUUGAAAUUCACUCUUCAUCACACAGUGCCCCUUCUUCUCCUCUCCUGUGGAGACUGAGUUCUCAUCUCCCUGUCUUAGAUAGCAUGAGACCCCUUUCUCUACUGUGGCCUUAGUGAACCCAGGAAGGGAUCCUAUACUGCACAUGAGUGUGGGAAAGAGAGACUGUGGCUUGACGUCUUAGGGAACUUUUUUUUUCCAAAGGCUGGCAGAGACUCUUUCUUUCCUAUAGUAUAGUUCUUUAAACAUCACACUCUUUUACAAUCCUAACUAACUUUGUGAUCGUGUCUUCCAUAAAUACCCCAGAAUCCCAGUCAGAAUAUGCACUGUAGGAAGGGACUAGUCUGGGACUCAAAUGAUUAGAUGAGUUCAGGGAAUAUGUCUAAUGAUGGAUUUUGAGCUGGGUUUUUGAGUGUCGUUUUCAGUAUCUUCAUCAUGUCCAUAGCUAUCAUAGGCUAAGAAUAAAACCAGACUGGUUUUCCCUAGUCAGCAUUCUCUUUGUCUGAUCUUCAGAGGUAAAGUCCAGAUGCUGUAAGCCUUGACUGGUGCGGUGGUGUAGGGCUAGCAGCACGCUACAAAAAACGAGGGCCACGCAGUCCUGGGGAGGAAGACUCUACAAGUGCAAUGUGGGGAAGGAGACUCUACAAGUGCAAUGUGCCCGAGGCGGGCGGAUAACUUGAGGUCAGGAGUUUGAGACCAGCCUGGCCUACAUGGUGAAACCCAGUCUCUACUAAAAAUACAAAAAAAAAAAAAAUAUUAGGCAUUGUGGCACACACCUCUAAUCUCAGCUACUUGGGAGACUGAGGCAGGAGAAUCACUUGAACCCGGG